UACGAAGGGGGCUAGCGUUGCUCGGAAUUACUGGGCGUAAAGGGCGCGUAGGCGGAUAUCUAAGUUGGGGGUGAAAUCCCGGGGCUCAACCUCGGAAUUGCCUUCAAAACUGGAUAUCUUGAGUUCGGGAGAGGUGAGUGGAACUCCGAGUGUAGAGGUGAAAUUCGUAGAUAUUCGGAAGAACACCAGUGGCGAAGGCGACUCACUGGACAUGUAUUGACGCUGAGGUGCGAAAGCGUGGGGAGCAAACAGG
rnacentral:rRNA from 1 species